rnacentral:sRNA from 1 species
CACUAGCCCAGAUGGAAACGGCAUCCUCUGGUGGCGGGGUUCGCCACUAGAGAUAUAGUGGACAGCUGGAUCAGCU